ensembl:ncRNA mir-3645 mir-3645 stem loop
GUGAGUGCAGGCUGUUUAUUGCGGCGCUGUUUACUGUUUACGAUCGCACUGGAAGUGCGCUUUCCGGCGCCUUUGGAAGCCAGCACUCAAGUUUCCUUCAUUGUUUUCCUUUCUUUCCCCUCUCUCUCUCCCCGCAG